rnacentral:misc_RNA from 1 species
AGGUAAUUGCCAUGUGCUGCACUUACAUAUCAGUAGCUAUACAUAUUUUUGAAUGUUUGUAAUUCUUUUUUUUUUCUUGAAAAAAUUUAUUCUCAUAUAACGAAAAGAGAAUAUACCAUCUUGCAGUACAGGGUUUCCUCAGAUGAAAAAUGUUUCAAACUUUGUAAUCCAUGUUGAUUUCUUUCUGGCUAUCGUCAUUCUUCAUCAGACUAUCAGAUGCAUCCUUCAUUGUGGUUAGCUUCUUGAUAGAUUCACUUAUUUGGAUGACUGA